rnacentral:lncRNA from 1 species
ACCAUUUGCCUGAAGCUCCUCAUCCCCUUCCUUGUGCCUCCUCAGAAUUCUACCAGUGCACCUCAUUCAGACAUUCAUCAAGAAAAAGGCCAGCUGAAGGCAGACAGCCAACAAAACUCAGUCGUUAGCCACAGCCCUGGCUGUCCUCGUCCAUCAAGCCUGCCCAUUGUGAGCUUCCAUUCAUCUUACCUGUCUGUUAUGGAAGAGUGAAGUGGAAAAGGCAUGGAGGACUCAGAAGACCUGCUACCGAGAAGAGAUAUCACAGAGCUGGCAGAGUUAAUGAGUAUCUUGGACAAUUGCACCAAAUGCAAUGGAUUGGGAUCACUAAAUCAAGACGUAAUUUGAUAGAAAUAAAGAGAUGGGGUCUCUCUCUUCCCCAGGCCGGAGUGCUAGAGUGCACUGGCAUGAUUACAGCUCACUGCAGCCUCGACCUCCUGGGCUCAAUUGAUCCUCUAGCCUCAGCCUCGUAAGUAGUUGGGACUACAGGCGUGUACCACCACAUUUGGCUUUUUUUUUUUUUUUUUGGUAUUUUUUGUAGAGACAAGGUUUUGCUAUGUUGCCCAGGCUAGUCUCGAACUCCCAGGCUCAAGUGAUCCUCCCGCCUUGGCCUCCCAAAGUGC